rnacentral:rRNA from 1 species
UACGGAGGGUGCGAGCGUUGUCCGGAAUCACUGGGCGUAAAGGGCGCGUAGGCGGCGCGGGGAGUCAACGGUGAAAGCUCGACGCUCAACGUCGAGUCGGCCGUCGAGACUGCGAGGCUUGAGCACUGUAGAGGCAGAUGGAAUUCCGGGUGUAGCGGUGGAAUGCGUAGAGAUCCGGAAGAACACCGGUGGCGAAGGCGGUCUGCUGGGCAGUUGCUGACACUGAGGCGCGACAGCGUGGGGAGCAAACAGG